GUGCUCCUUUCAGCAGCACAUAUACUAAAAUUAGAAUGAUAUGGAAAUUAGCAUGGUCCCUAUACAAGGAUGACAUGCAUAUUCGUUAGGCAUUCCAUAUUCUA